GACGAACGCUGGCGGCGUGCCUAAUACAUGCAAGUUGAGCGCUGAAGGUUGGUACUUGUACCAACUGGAUGAGCAGCGAACGGGUGAGUAACGCGUGGGGAAUCUGCCUUUGAGCGGGGGACAACAUUUGGAAACGAAUGCUAAUACCGCAUAAAAACUUUAAACACAAGUUUUAAGUUUGAAAGAUGCAAUUGCAUCACUCAAAGAUGAUCCCGCGUUGUAUUAGCUAGUUGGUGAGGUAGAGGCUCACCAAGGCGAUGAUACAUAGCCGACCUGAGAGGGUGAUCGGCCACAUUGGGAAUGAGACACGGCCCAAACUCCUACGGGAGGCAGCAGUAGGGAAUCUUCGGCAAUGGACGAAAGGCUGACCGAGCAACGCCGCGGGAGUGAAGAAGGUUUUCGGAUCGGAAAACUCUGUUGGUAGAGAAGAACGUUGGUGAGAGUGGAAAGCUCAUCAAGUGACGGUAACUACCCAGAAAGGGACGGCUAACUACGUG
rnacentral:rRNA from 1 species